GUCCUACGGGGGGCAGCAGUGAGGAAUAUUGGUCAAUGGUCGGGAGACUGAACCAGCCAAGCCGCGUGAGGGAGGAAGGUACAGAGUAUCGUAAACCUCUUUUGUCAGGGAACAAAGGCGGGGACGUGUCCCCGGAUGAGUGUACCUGAAGAAAAAGCAUCGGCUAACUCCGUGCCAGCAGCCGCGGUAAUACGGAGGAUGCGAGCGUUAUCCGGAUUUAUUGGGUUUAAAGGGUGCGCAGGCGGUCUGUUAAGUCAGCGGUCAAAGCCCGGGGCCCAACCCCGGCCCGCCCGUUGAAUGGGCAG
rnacentral:rRNA from 1 species